AUGAUUGACUUUCUCUACUUUUUUCUCUUCACCCUCACCUUUAAUUUCCCUAAAUUAUGCCUAAAUUUGGAAAACUCAUAUCUGCACUUCCACUCUCCUCUUCUCCCCCAACACCCACCCAUAAAUGUUGUUCUUCAACCUACACUUCUCACCUCUACAUCCCUUGCCUCUUCUCUGUUAUGGUGUCUUCCACACAUUUCCUCCAGCUGUGUCCCGGCCCAAGAUCUCAACCAACAGCCACUGCUCCUCCGCUCCAUGGAUGAGGAUGCUUCAAAAGUGCUCGUUGCACUUGCUUCUAGAAUUAUGGUAGCACUUUUUGCGUGGGUGGUUUGUCCACCACCAUUGUCCGUUCUAAGCAUUGGUUUGUUAGGUUACUGGUUACCCAUCACUGGCGAUUGUGGAUCUGUGACAGCGAUGCGGCAAAUGGGAAGUAGCGGUUGUAGCUUCUCAUAUUUAGGAUUCUUCCUUUAUGUUUGUAUUGGGCUGGAUGUUUGUUUUAAAGUUUGCCCUUUAUAUAGCUUCUUUUUGCUUUCUGUUGGGCUGAGACCUUGUACCUCUUAG
rnacentral:lncRNA from 1 species